rnacentral:lncRNA from 1 species
UACUAUCCAAGCACGACUGGGACUGACACUAAAAAGGGCAGAAGUACCUUUGGGGGCAACAGAGCUAGAAAGAGUGUUAGAUUCAAGAAUUUUGUACAGUCUGUCUAGUUGUUCCAUCGUGAAUGAAAGCUGAAUUGAAGAAGACUGAUGCUCUUGAUCAGAAUUACUGGCUUGGAAUGUAUGACCCNNNNNNNNNNNNNNNNNNNNNAGGUCGCGGAAGACCAUGUAAUUUCCAACAUUGAAAAAUAGUAUGUCCCAAACGAUGACAAUAUUUGCAUUCACGACGGUAUUUGAAAGUGGAUGAUCGUCGUCGAGAAUAAAAAAACGUCUGUCAUACCCCAUUUUUUGACCGACCGUUUUUUUAUAUAUAUUUUUUCAGACGGUUUUUCUUUGUCCGUUUCUGACGAAAUUUCGGCAGAGAGGUAUUUUAAAAUACCUCAUUUAUGUGAUUUCAUUUUUUAUUUUAUUUUUAUUAUUAUUUUAUUAGUUCUUUAUUUUCAUUUUUUAUUUAUUUUUAUUUUUAUUUUUUCGUUUUUUUAUUAUUAUUAUUGUAUAUGUUUUUUCUACUUAUUUUUAUUUAUAUUUUUUACUGUAUUUACGUUUUUUUUAUUUUUUUAUUAUUAUAUAUGAUUAUUAUUUUUCUUAGUAGUUUUAUUUUUUGGGUUUUAUUUUUUCUGUCAUUUUUUAGAUAGUCCAAUUUUUUUGUCCUGGUCCAGGCCCAAGAAGGGCAAUUUUGUCCAAAUGAGGCGAGAAUUCAUCAGCAAACCCUAACUGCUGACACCCUUUAAAUAGUGCAUUUAUUGCACUGUUCCCGAGGGGAGAUCAGCGCCGCAACAACACAGAACCACCAAAUUCCAUCUCUUUCCAAGAAUCAAAAUCAACUCAAAAAUCAACAAAAAAAUCAAAAAAAUGCAAGUAACUUCACUGUAACAAUUUCAUCACCACCAUAAUAACAUCAUCCAAAACAAAAUCAAAACAGUAACAACAUCAACCAACAGAAUCCAAAACGAACAACAUCAAAUCAACGGAAUCAAAGCGAAAUCAAAACCAAUCAAACCGAAACAACCACCGGAACUCAAGAUCAAUAGGAACCUGGAAAUAGAUCGAAGAAAAGGUUGAGUUUUUUGGCCGGAACUGUUUUUCUUUCUUUUCCGAUCUAGAAUUUUUGACUUAGAAUUAGGGUUUUUCAUUUGGAUAUUCGAAUUAAGGGUGGCAAGACGAACCUAUAACUAGGUUUUGGUUGAAUUCUGGGCACUUAGGCCGCCGGAACCGCCGCCGGANNNGAGAGAAAACGUGAAAAAUGAUUUUUUUUUUUUUUUUUUCCUUUUCGUUUAAAAUAGAUGUCAGCUGGGUUUGAAUGAAGACGGGCCUUAACGGCCCGUUACUGUUCCUGUUCGUUUUUUUAUUUUUUUUCUGUUUUUUCUGUUUACUUUUCACACCCCCUUUCUGCUUCUGAACUUUUUUUGUUUUUUUAGCUUAAAUUUAAGUCAUUUUAGUUUAAGUUAAGAAUGACUUUUCAAUUUCAGUGACUUAUUUAAGUCAUUUGAACAAAAUUAAGUCAUUUAAAUUUUAAUGGUAUUUUAUUUUAUUUAUUUUGCUAUUUAUUGUAAAUUAAUCACUUCUUGAGCUUAUGAGAUAAGUGCUUAUGGAUUGAGCUUGUUUAAGCUAUUUGGUCCAUUUUUAUGCACAAAAUUGAGGCUAUUUUGGAUUUAAAUUUAUUUUUCUCCAUUUUAAUUUGUUGUUAGUUUAUUAUAGCAUUUUAAUCUUAUAUGUUGAGCUUAUGAUAAAAGUGCUUAUGGAAUAAGCUUAUUUAAGCUAUUUAAUCCAUUUUUUUGCACAAGUUUGAGGCUAUUUUUUAGUUUAUAUUUAUUUUUAUCAUUUUAGUUUAUUUUUUAUUUAUUUUUAUUUUGUUCAUUUCCUAUUCUAUUUUUUAUAUAUAUAUUUCA